UUUCAGGAACCAGCAGUUUAGCGUAGAAAUUAAAAUUUCUAUUAACAUGAUUUCUCUCGACAAACUGCUUUCUGUUUUUCAGCAAGAGUGAGUCCCGAGGAGACAGGCCACAGAUCGGUGGACGUGCUCACCUCCACUUGGGGCCAGGUCUAUGUCCCAGUUUCCUGCCGUCGCAGGCAGGGUGCCAAGGCGGCAAGAGGAAGGUGAGCGGUCAAGAGACCUUCAGGAAGAGCGGCCCUUGGCUGUUUCCAUCGCUGAUAGAGAAGAGAAAGGAUGCACAUCACAAGAGGGAGGAACUACUCCAACUUUUCCUAUUCAGAAACAAAGAAAAAGCUUAUUCAAGCUGUGAGGGACAAUUCAUUCCUUAUUGUUACUGGAAAUACAGAAAGUGGUAAAACAACUCAACUCCCAAAAUAUCUAUAUGAAGCAGGGUUUUCACAACAUGGUAUGAUUGGUGUGACUCAGCCACGAAAAGUAGCUGCCAUAUCAGUUGCUCAGAGGGUGGCUGAAGAAAUGAAAUGCACUUUGGGAUCCAAAGUAGGAUACCAAGUUCAUUUUGAUGAUUGCAGCUCUAAGGAGAUAGCAAUCAAAUACAUGACUGAUGGAUGUUUACUGAAACAUAUUCUGGGAGAUCCAAAUCUUAGCAAAUUCAGUGUCAUUAUUUUGGAUGAAGCCCAUGAGAGAACUCUAACUACAGAUAUCUUAUUUGGUUUAUUGAAGAAGUUAUUUCAGGAGAAGUCUCCUAACAGGAAAGAACAUUUAAAGGUGGUGGUAAUGUCAGCAACUAUAGAAUUAGCCAAGCUGUCUGCAUUCUUUGGAAAUUGUCCAAUAUUUGAUAUACCUGGAAGGCUUUAUCCAGUGAGAGAGAAAUUCUGCAAUUUGGCCCACAAGACAGAGAAAAUACUGCAUAUAUUCAAGCGAUUGUGAAAAUGACCAUGGAUAUCCUUUUGAAUGAAAUGGCUGGAGAUAUCUUGGUUUUCCUAACUGGCCAGUUUGAAAUCGAAAAAAGUUGUGAAUUACUUUUUCAGAUGGCAUAGUCCGUUGAUUAUGAUUAUGAUGUUCAAGAUACCACGCUAGAUGGCUUGUUAAUAUUGCCAUGUUAUGGAUCUAUGACAACAGAUCAACAGAGGAGAAUAUUUUUGCCACCUCCACCUGGAAUAAGAAAAUGUGUCAUAUCCACCAAUAUUUCUGCAACUUCUUUGACAAUAGAUGGAAUUAGAUACGUGGUAGAUGGUGGCUUUGUGAAGCAGUUAAAUCACAACCCCAGAUUAGGACUGGACAUCCUGGUGGUGGUUCCAAUUUCAAAGAGUGAGGCAUUACAGCGAAGUGGCUGGGCUGGCAGGACUUCCUCAGGAAAAUGCUUUAGGAUCUAUAGUAAAGAUUUUUGGAACUAGUGUAUGCCUGACCAUGUGAUCCCUGAGAUUAAGAGGACUAGUUUGACAUCUGUAGUUCUGACCUUAAAGUGCCUUGCCAUACACGAUGUCAUAAGAGAAUUGUUUCCCUAUUUGGAUCCACCUAAUGAGAGACUUAUUUUGGAAGCUCUUAAACAACUUUACCAGUGUGAUGCUAUUGACAGUUGAUCCAGAGUACCAGAAGGAAGCAGAACAGAGACAUCGAGAACUGGCAGCUAAAGCUGGAGGAUUUAAUGACUUUGCAACUUUAGCUGUCAUCUUUGAACAAUGCAAAUCAAGUGGAGCUCCAGCUUCAUGGUGCCAAAAGCAUUGGAUUCAUUGGAGGUGCUUAUUUUCUGCAUUUCGUGUGGAAGCUCAACUUCGAGAACUAAUAAGGAAACUUAAACAGCAAAGUGAUUUCCCAAGAGAGACCUUUGAAGGCCCUAAACAUGAAGUACUACGAAGAUGUCUUUGUGCAGGCUAUUUCAAAAAUGUAGCCCGAAGAUCGGUUGGGAGAACGUUUUGCACAAUGGAUGGGCGUGGAAGCCCAGUUCACAUUCAUCCUUCCUCAGCACUUCAUGAACAGGAAACCAAACUUGAAUGGAUCAUUUUUCAUGAGGUGUUAGUUACCACCAAAGUCUACGCAAGAAUUGUGUGUCCAAUUCGUUAUGAGUGGGUAAGAGACUUGUUACCCAAGUUGCACGAAUUUAAUGCACAUGAUUUGAGCAGUGCGGCUCGACGUGAAGUGAGAGAAGAUGCAAGGAAGAGAUGGACAAACAAGGAAAAUGUAAAGCAGCUAAAGGAUGGAAUAUCAAAAGAAGUUCUAAAGAAAAUGCAAAGAAGAAAUGAUGACAAAUCCAUAUCAGAUGCCCGGGCUUGUUUCCUUGACAGAAAGCAGCAGAGGACCUAGGACCACAGUGACACCCUGAAGGAAACAGGCUAAGCGGUGAACUCUCCAAUUCUGAAAGUAGGAAAAGCAGCCAGGGCAUGUGCUUCCAUUUUGCCAGUUAUUUCAGACAUUACCAAGAGGAAGUGGCCAGCAGUUGUUAUUAGCCUAUGGGCCAAAGGCAAAUAUCAGAGUUAAUCAGUACCAAUAAAUGGAAUUUGCAAAGAAAAGAUUAGGUUGCCAUAGUCAUAGGCAGUGAUACAUGAAGCCAAUGAAAGACAAUACAUGUAAUAUUUUCCUCACUUCAAUUCUGCUGGCCUUAACUGGUAUCAAACGCUGUCAUUGAGAUAUUUUCAAAGAAGAUUGAAUUGUAUUUAAUCAGUGUGUACUCCAUUUGCAUUGAAGCAUUAAAAAUUAUUUUCCUUAAAAAAAAAAACUUUUAAAUUAAAAAAAAAUAUCAUCCAUGAAGCAAAAUAUAG